UUUUAAUAACGGUGUUUGUGCACGAGGAAUUUUGAUUUCCUAAGUAGGAGCUUAGAAUUCCCUUAUUAAAU
rnacentral:tRNA from 1 species